UACGAAGGGGGCUAGCGUUGUUCGGAUUUACUGGGCGUAAAGGGCUCGUAGGCGGCCAACUAAGUCAGACGUGAAAUCCCUAGGCUCAACCUAGGAACUGCGUCUGAUACUGGAUGGCUUGAAUCCGGGAGGAGGGAGUGCAGAAUUCCAGGUGUAGCGGUGAAAUGCGUAGAUAUCUGGAGGAAUACCGGUGGCGAAGGCGCAUCCUGGACCGGCAUUGACGCUGAGGAGCGAAAGCCAGGGGAGCAAACGGGAUUAGAAACCCC
rnacentral:rRNA from 1 species